GACGAACGCUGGCGGCGUGCUUAACACAUGCAAGUCGAACGGAAAGGCCCUGCUUUUGUGGGGUGCUCGAGUGGCGAACGGGUGAGUAACACGUGAGUAACCUGCCCUGGACUUUGGGAUAACUUCAGGAAACUGGGGCUAAUACCGGAUAGGAGCUCCUGCUGCAUGGUGGGGGUUGGAAAGUUUCGGCGGUUGGGGAUGGACUCGCGGCUUAUCAGCUUGUUGGUGGGGUAGUGGCUUACCAAGGCUUUGACGGGUAGCCGGCCUGAGAGGGUGACCGGCCACAUUGGGACUGAGAUACGGCCCAGACUCCUACGGGAGGCAGCAGUGGGGAAUAUUGCACAAUGGGCGGAAGCCUGAUGCAGCAACGCCGCGUGCGGGAUGACGGCCUUCGGGUUGUAAACCGCUUUCGCCUGUGACGAAGCGUGAGUGACGGUAAGGGGUAAAGAAGCACCGGCUAACUACGUGC
rnacentral:rRNA from 1 species